rnacentral:pre_miRNA from 1 species
UACAUAGCUCCCUCCGUCUAGAAUUACUUGUCGGAGAAAUGGAUAUAUCUUGACGUAUUUUAGUUAUAGAUACAUUUAUUUCUAUCCAUUUCCGUGACAAGUAAUUCUGGAUGGAGGGAGUAUUUA